CCUACGGGAGGCAGCAGUCGAGAAUCAUUCACAAUGGGGGAAACCCUGAUGGUGCGACGCCGCGUGGGGGAAUGAAGGUCUUCGGAUUGUAAACCCCUGUCAUGUGGGAGCAAAUUAAAAAGAUAGUACCACAAGAGGAAGAGACGGCUAACUCUGUGCCAGCAGCCGCGGUAAUACAGAGGUCUCAAGCGUUGUUCGGAAUCACUGGGCGUAAGGCGUGCGGAGGCUGUCUCGUAAGUCGUGUGUGAAAGGCGCGGGCUCAACCCGCGGACGGCACAUGAUACUGCGAGACUAGAGUAAUGGAGGGGGAACCGGAAUUCUCGGUGUAGCAGUGAAAUGCGUAGAUAUCGAGAGGAACACUCGUGGCGAAGGCGGGUUCCUGGACAUUAACUGACGCUGAGGCACGAAGGCCAGGGGAGCGAAAGGGAUUAGAUACCCGUGUAGUC
rnacentral:rRNA from 1 species